UUUGAUUUUAAAUUGUUACUGAACAUCUAGACACCAAAAAAUUUUGCUGUUUAUUGUAGCCUCAACCCAGAGAUGUUACAGUGCUGCAUGUAUCUAUUACAGAACUCCUAUCACAGUGAAGCAGACUUGCCUUGUUGCUCUUCUGACUCGGAGUUAAGUGGGGUUUACUGACUACUGCAAUUGAGAGUACUGUGUAGGGAAUAAAUUCUUGAAACAAAUUUUCUUUGCACCAAGCAAUUGAAAAGACAACCAAAAACAGACUUCAUGGAACACCUGCGUAUUGGUAACCCAAAUAAAUCUUAGCAACUACUCA
rnacentral:lncRNA from 1 species